ACUGAUCCAGUUUGGGGGAAAGUUCUGGAGCUCCCAGCUGCAGAGCCUGGAGUUAACUCUUGGCUGGCCCCAGCCCUCCAGUCCCGGUCCCUGCUGCUCUCUCCCCCGCCUGCACUCUCAGGGAACCAGACAGAGCUGCAGCAGGGGCCCUGUGUGCAAGCUUCAGGAUUCUUAACCCUUAGGAGCCCUGCAGACCCGGGAGGGGAUGGACUUCUCGAGCAUCUGCUCUCCGCCCUUCCCCGAGUUGGGGCCGGGCCCCUGGCUGUGCCCGGAGGAGUAGCUGGCGGACUUCUCCCCGCUGCCGCUGUGGGCCGCGGCCCCGCACCGGCCCUGGCCCCGGCAGAGCACCGAGGCGCAGGCCUGGCGGAAGCGGGGGUCGAAGAAGGCGUAGAGAAAGGGGUUGAGGCAGCUGUUGACGUAGCUGACGCAGGUGCAGUAGGGGAAGACGUUCAUGAGGAAGAGGUCGAAGUCGCAGGGCCAGCGCAGCAGGCCGCCCAGCGUGUAGAGCGUCUUCACCAGGUGGUAGGGCACCCAGCAGAGGGCGAAGGUCACCACCAGCACCACGAUGAUGCCGAGCAGCCGGCGCCGCUUCCGCAGGCCCUCGACGCGCUCCUUGCGGAAGUGGCCGGCGAUGGUCUGGGCGAUGAAGAAGUAGCAGGUCAGCAUGACGGUGAAGGGCACCACGAAGCCCACGGCGGUGGACGAGACCCCCAGGCCCACCUCCCAGGCCCACUCGGAGCCGGAGGCGGCCACCACGGAGUAGUCCAUGUAGCACUGCACCCUGGUGGUGUUCUCCAGGUCCCCGGUGGCGCGGAACACCAUGACCGGCGCGGCCAGGAGGGCGGCCAGCACCCACAGGACGGCCGUGGCCGCGGCGCCGCUGACCCGCAGCCUCAGCCGAGCGUUGGCCACCGGCCUCACGAUGGCCAGGUAGCGGUCGAAGCUGAGCCCGGUGAGGCAGAAGACGCUGGCGUACAUGUUGACGAAGACGAGAUAGCUGCUGAGCUUGCAAGCAAAGGUGCCGAAGGGCCAGUCGUAGUCCCGGUACGUGUAGGUGGCCCACAGCGGCAGGGUCACCACGAAAGUCAGGUCGGCCACUGCCAGGCUGGCGAUGAAGACGUCGGCCGAGCGCCUCUUCUCGCGGCUGCUGCGGAACACGGUCCAGAGCACCAGGCCGUUGCCCGUGGUGCCCAGGAGGAAGACCAGCAUGUAGAUGGCGGGGAUGAGGGCCCCCGAGGACUUCCAGUCCGUGUACUCGCACUCAGACUGGUUGUCUGCCCCGUAGUAGGUGUCAAAGUCGCCGGCCUCCUCCAUGCUGGGCGGCGGAGAGAAGACGGGGCAGGGGCUCCCGCGGGUACCAGCUCCGUGGCUGCGGCCCCGACCCCGGCGGCCGCCCUGGGCUUCUGGCCCGAGCCUCAGGGGGCAGGCGAGAAGGGGCUGAGGGUGUCCAGAGCCCUUCCCGGCAAGCAGAAGCUGCCUCCGGAUUCUGGAGGGUGCCUGCCCCUGCAGACGUCCCUCCGCCCUCUCCUCGCCUUGCCCCAGCCUCAGCUAAGAGGCUUCCUUGCGCCCUCCUGAGUCUCUGUCUCCUCCUCGUCUGGUCACUCCCUCCUCCCACCCACCUCCAGACCCACCCCUCACUUGGGAGUCUUAAGAUCUUUAAGUUACAGCCCACUUUUUUUUUGUUGUUUUUUUCCUCUUGUCCCCGGGCAAGUGGACCAAAUUGAGCCCUGCGGAGCAGAGCUGGGCAGAAUGUUAUCUGAGGUUUGCAGCCUGCUCUCCUCCCAGCCCCUCCUCCACCCUCUGGCUACCACCCACCUUCUCCCCAGCCUCUAGUCCCUGGUUUCCUCUGGCCUUUGGAGCACCCCCUCCCCAACCCUCCCCACCUUCCUACUCUCACCCCCUCCCCUCCCCUCUAAAUGGGACAA
rnacentral:lncRNA from 1 species